ACAACAGUUAACAACAACCCACAAAUUACCAUCUCGUUUGUACAAUUUCAACAGAUAAUGCGACUCAGAGACCCAGUCAAAGUUGUACGGCCAUUUAAAUCAGGACAAAGCAGCGGAACAUCGCUUUACAAACAUCGCACGGCCUAACGAAGCAAAAGAACUCCAACGCGUUAACGCGCUGCAGCGGAUGCCUGAUCAUCUGCGAUGUUAAUUACAUGCAAAUUGUCAGCGGUUGCCAACGUUGAUUCGAAAUGGCGCCAAAAUAUUAGCAUAAUUCGCGUAGAAUGGAAUGGUUUGAGCGGGUAGUAAUGACUUAUUUAUCGUGAAAUCGAAUCUGUGAUAGUGCACAAAUAUGUCAAAAUAAUAGAAAGCUGCUGGAUGUGGCUUUUUGGGUAUAUCCAAAAAGUUUACUGAAAACGAGUAAAUAAACAGCAUCUCACUACGACCUAAUUUCAUUUCA